rnacentral:misc_RNA from 1 species
UACAGAGGGCCCGAGCGUUAAUCGGAAUCACUGGGCUUAAAGCGUGCGUAGGCGGAUAUGCAAGUACUUUGUGAAAUCCCACAGCUUAACUGUGGAACUGCUUGGUAGACUGCAUAUCUUGAGGCCGGUAGGGGUCGUCGGAACUCUAGGUGGAGCGGUGAAAUGCGUAGAUAUCUAGAGGAACGCCAAAGGGGAAGCCAGACGACUGGGCCGGUUCUGACGCUGAGGCACGAAAGCGUGGGGAGCAAACAGG